AUCGCUUCUCGGCCUUUUGGCUAAGAUCAAGUGUAGUAUCUGUUCUUAUCAGUUUCUUGCCUGCCAAAACUCCAUUGAAAGACUCCUAGAUAUAACAAAUAAAUCCAGCAAUGUAGCUGGAUCCAAU
rnacentral:snRNA from 1 species